rnacentral:rRNA from 1 species
CAUGCUUUACACAUGCAAGUCGAACGGGGUUGGGAGCUUGCUUCCAAUCUAGUGGCGAACGGGUGAGUAAUACAUCGGAACGUACCGUGUAGUGGGGAUAACGUAGCGAAAGUUACGCUAAUACCGCAUACGAUCCACGGAUGAAAGCAGGGGACCUUCGGGGCCUUGUGCUAUACGAGCGGCCGAUGUCUGAUUAGCUAGUUGGUGAGGUAAAGGCUCACCAAGGCGACGAUCAGUAGCGGGUCUGAGAGGAUGAUCCGCCACACUGGGACUGAGACACGGCCCAGACUCCUACGGGAGGCAGCAGUGGGGAAUUUUGGACAAUGGGCGCAAGCCUGAUCCAGCCAUGCCGCGUGUCUGAAGAAGGCCUUCGGGUUGUAAAGGACUUUUGUCAGGGAGCAAAACUUACUGGUUAAUACCUGGUGAGGUUGAGAGUACCUGAAGAAUAAGCACCGGCUAACUACGUGCCAGCAGCCGCGGUAAUACGUAGGGUGCAAGCGUUAAU